rnacentral:rRNA from 1 species
AAGUCGUAACAAGGUUUCCGUAGGUGAACCUGCGGAAGGAUCAUUACUGAGUUCAGGGUCUUUGGCCGAUCUCCAACUCUAUGUUUAUCAAACUUAUGUUGCUUUGGCGAUCCCGUCAUUUAUAUGACCGCCGGAGUUCCUCAGAGCUUCUGGUCAGUGGUCGCCAAAGAUUUUCUCAAAAUCUGUCAAAUUGUGUCGUCUAAAUUCAUAAACAAAAUUAUAAAAAACUUUCAGCAACGGAUCUCUUGGUUCUGGCAUCGAUGAAGAACGCAGCGAAAUGCGAUAAGUAAUGCGAAUUGCAGAAUAAGUGAGUCAUCGAAUUUUGAACGCACAUUGCGCCCCUCGGUAUUCCUUGGGCAUGCCUGUUCGAGCGCCAUUAUCAAACCUCAAGCUAUGGCUUGCCAUUGAGUUGAUCCAGUAAAAGGAUUUUCUCCAAAGAUCGUGGCAAGGUAAUUAAAUCCUAAAUGCAAUGAGCUGUUUUAAUACUGCACGCAUGAAAGGAAAUAGUUGUCUUCAGCCUAAUUUCAAUUUCUAAAGGUUGACCUCGGAUCAGGUAGGGAUACCCGCUGAACUUAA